rnacentral:rRNA from 1 species
UGGGGAAUAUUGCACAAUGGGCGAAAGCCUGAUGCAGCGACGCCGCGUGAGUGAGGAAGUAUUUCGGUAUGUAAAGCUCUAUCAGCAGGGAAGAAAGAAAUGACGGUACCUGAGUAAGAAGCUCCGGCUAAAUACGUGCCAGCAGCCGCGGUAAUACGUAUGGAGCAAGCGUUAUCCGGAUUUACUGGGUGUAAAGGGAGCGUAGGCGGCAGAGCAAGUCUGAUGUGAAAGCCCGGGGCUCAACCCCGGUAGUGCAUUGGAAACUGUUCAGCUUGAGUGUCGGAGGGGUAAGCGGAAUUCCUGGUGUAGCGGUGAAAUGCGUAGAUAUCAGGAAGAACACCGGAGGCGAAGGCGGCUUACUGGACGAUUACUGACGCUGAGGCUCGAAAGCGUGGGGAGCGAACAGG